UACAGAGGUCCCGAGCGUUGUUCGGAUUCACUGGGCGUAAAGGGUGCGUAGGUGGCGGGGUAAGUCUGAUGUGAAAGCCCUGGGCUCAACCUGGGAAUUGCACUGGAUACUGGCAGGCUAGAGUGCGGUAGAGGAUGGCGGAAUUCCCGGUGUAGCAGUGAAAUGCGUAGAGAUCGGGAGGAACAUCUGUGGCGAAGGCGGCCAUCUGGACCAGCACUGACACUGAGGCACGAAAGCGUGGGGAGCAAACAGG
rnacentral:rRNA from 1 species